rnacentral:lncRNA from 1 species
ACGGGAGGUCCACAACUAUAGUUGUGGGUUUAUAGCCGGUCUAUAGACCUCGGUACACCUGGUCUCCUCGUGAUCCACUGGCACAGUGCUGGUGGUUUUUGUCAUGGUGCACGGGAGCAAAUUCGAGCGAGCUGAGUUUUACACUGAUUGAUGGUCUAAAAGCUUCCACACAUUCGAUCGGACGACUGACAAGGUUUUCAUGAUUUUCAUGCAACUUGAACACAUUUUGGACAUA